AGGGCUGAAAGAAGAAGAGGUAAAAGCGGCGUGAAGCCAGCUAUACGAACACUGUAUGUAGGCUCCAACGAGGGACGUCAACCGCGAAAUUAAGAAGAGGAAAAUCUCUUGUUUCUUUGAUAGUUAGUCCUGCAACAAUUUGAUAUAGCCCACUGUUUUUUUUGCAAUUUAUGAUAUGUUUGCCCUCGUGCUGGAUUGCAGCUGGCCCCCUUUAACAGCUUUCACUUCUACCAGGUGAAGGAGUGGUGAAAUGGGUUGGCACAAAGGAAAACCCUACGAUGUGGCACUCUGGCUUUCCAAGUAAAGUUCUGUGAUACACUUCGACUCUAAUUGUUUGCAGUCAGUGCAUUACAGAACUUUGUUUUGGGAGUUAAUGCUCUGGCCUGCGGGAAGAAACCUACCGUCUGGAGAGUGGGACCAUUAUUUCACAUGCCACUUGCAGACUGCAAUAGGGAGAAUAAAGUUUUUCUUUUGACAAUGACUUGGCUCAUGAGUUUUCACCUACUUGUGAAGUAUUUAUCUGCUUGUAAUUAAACACGCACUUGGUCUA